rnacentral:lncRNA from 1 species
ACUUCGGUUUUUACGAACCGCAGGCCAUGGACUUCGGUUUAUAUAAACCACUCGCUAAAUUACUUCGGUUAAUGUUAACCGAAGUGUUUCUAUAUAUAAAUACUCUGCUGUCAGUUCUUAUUAUUCACAAAACGAGAAUUUGAAAAGCUUACGGAAAGAAGAUCAAUUUUUGACGCAUUUGAGGCUUGAAAUCGAGAUUGAAGCAUCAUCUAAUGGAUUCAACAC